CCUACGGGAGGCAGCAGUGAGGAAUAUUGGUCAAUGGGCGAGAGCCUGAACCAGCCAAGUCGCGUGAGGGAGUACUGCCCUAUGGGUUGUAAACCUCUUUUGUCGGGGAGCAAAAGCCGGACGUGUCCGGCUGUGAGAGUACCCGAAGAAAAAGCAUCGGCUAACUCCGUGCCAGCAGCCGCGGUAAUACGGAGGAUGCGAGCGUUAUCCGGAUUUAUUGGGUUUAAAGGGUGCGCAGGCGGAUUGUUAAGUCAGCGGUAAAAUCGGGGGGCUCAACCCCAUCCAGCCGUUGAAACUGGGGAUCUAGAGUGUGCGAGAGGUAUGCGGAAUGCGUGGUGUAGCGGUGAAAUGCAUAGAUAUCACGCAGAACCCCGAUUGCGAAGGCAGCAUACCGGUGCACAACUGACGCUCAGGCACGAAAGCGUGGGUAUCGAACAGGAUUAGAUACCCUUGUAGUC
rnacentral:rRNA from 1 species